GUGGGAGCUAGAGGGGAGGCGGGGCGGAGGCGGGGCGGAGGCGGGGCCUGGCUGUGGCGGCGGCGCCGGUGGGUAGCUGGGUUUAGAGCAGGGGGACUACGGCUCGGCGUUGGGCUCAGUGGGGUCGGACGAAGGACAGGCCGGACGGGAAUCUUCGCGGCGUCUGUUGACGGCUAGCUGAGCGGCCAGUCGAGGCUUCUCGGUCGCCCAGUGCCCCCGCCGCGCGGUCUCAGGCGGCUUCUCGGUUCACCGCAGCCAGCGCCACGGUGGGGGCCCGGCCCAGCGGCACCUGCUGCCGAGCACCGCGCCCGCCAGGUUCUCAUGAUGGGGCUCAUCUUCCCUGAGCUAUGGAGCCACUUCUCUAACCAAGGAUCUGUUCUUUGAAGACUGUUUAGAAGAAAAGGUUAAAUGACCCACUACCAGUGUGCCACCUUUGUGUACGAAAGGAGACACCAGAGAGGUAAGAGAAGAAUAGAAAUGCACUCAAAGACAGCUUUAGAGACUGAGUGACGACAGUGUAUCCAUUAUUGCUGUAGCCUAUGUAUUUACAAUUAGAGGCCUGACAGGAAAUAAUGAAGUAAUCUUUGAUCAAAUGCUGUCUGUGUUCUUUGAAAUCCACUGAAUCGUUUUUGCAAGACUGACAGAAAUCUUCAAACGUUCUAUCUGAGCUGCUUCUGAAACGUGCUAGAGACCAGUUAAAUUUGCGAAGUUUUUAUGGUUCUUUUAUAUCCUACACUGGACACUGUCACUUCUCAUUUUUAUUGAUGUGUUUGCCUCUACUGGACUUCCUGCGUUUAAUUUGCAAUCUAAGAUGAUCCAGGAUCGCUAUUUAAAAAGAGUAAUUUAUUUUAUAUCCAAUUCUUUCUAUCAAUUAGUAACUAUAUGUUAACAACCCAAUGACCUUUUAAAGAUGAAGGAGAAUGCCUGAAAUUCAUUAAAUGUCUCAGUGAACAGAUUCUACUAAUGCCUGUAAUGAAAGAGUGAGUCGACAUAAAGGAAAGUUCCUGAUAUUUAAAACUAGGUUUCUUUGUCUUUUUUUGUGGUAAAAUGUACAUAACAUAAAUUUAUCAUUUCAACCAUUUUUAAGUGUACAAUUCAGUGGCAUUAAACACAUUCACAUUCUUGUGCAGCCAUCACCACUAUCCAUCUCCAGAGCUUUGUCAUGAUCCCAAACUGAAGCUCUGCACCCAUUAAACAAUGACUCCCCAUUCUCUCAUCCCUCAAGUCCUUGGUAACCUAUAUUCUACUUUCUGUCUCUAUGAAUUUGCCUAUUCUACUUACCUCAUAUAAAUGGAAUCAUGCAGUAUUUGUCUUUUUGAGUCUGGCUUAUAGCACUUAGCAUGUUUUCAGAGUUCAUCCAUGUUGUAGCAGGUAUCAGAAUUUC
rnacentral:lncRNA from 1 species